AAUUUUUUAAAAUAACACUAAAUAACUUUUAUAUUUUAUUUGAGCAAUUUUUUUUAUGUAACACUUUAAGUGCUUGUGUUUUGUUUCCCAAAGAGAGACUUAUAAAAAGAUGUAUUUUUUAUUGUUUUAUAAAUAAAUAUCUGACAGGAUUAUUGCAUUUAAAGUACAGUUAUGUGAUGUCUUUAUUUAUCUUAAUUGACUAAGUGUACAAAGUUAAAUGGUGUUAAAAUUUAAAGGAGGUAAAUUUGAGGAUAAUAAUAAAUUAAACAGUUUAAACAAUGAACUCAGGUCCUGUCCCAUAAUACUUCACACUUACAGUAUGGGAAAUAUAACAUAGCUAUGUGGGACAAGGGUUACAUAUGUUUAACAUGACAGGGAUACCAGUAGGGACAGACAGAGGACAUCAGUCUGAGGCCAGGACAAAUCAGCUCUCAAUCCUCUUCUUCUCUUCUUCCUUUCAGGUAUCAGUUUAUGGGAUGGAAAUGUAAGAUCUGCACUUUUCAGGCAUCAUCCAUAAACUAUCUACCAGACUAGCCUUCAGGUAAAAGCAGUGAUCACCAGGAACAACAGCAGCUCCAAAUCCUGUCUGAGGUUAAGAAGAAGCUCAGCAUUUGUGUUUAGAAGACAUGACAUCAUCAGUCUUCAGAUGAGCAUCCAGGAGAUGGUGGAGAGGUGGUCUUCCUUGUUUGAUGUGUCUGAGGUCAAUGCAGAGUUCCAGCAGAUCACCACAGUAAAUGUUGAGGCCAAAUUCAUUUCAACUGCUGUCCAUCUUCCAAGCUAAGAAAAGUGCUGCUGGAGCCUGACACCGUGCAAGAACUGAUGCUGUUCUCCAGAGUGGAGUUGCUGUUGAGAAAACCAGAGAAUUCUUCAUCCGAUGUCCCAUUGAUCACCCUGUGGAAGAUGAUAAUGCUUUAAUCAAGGAGUUAAAGGCAAGUGCAGUUAAUGACUUUGUGGGUUCUCCCUACAAUGUAUCUGUUAGUAUGUCAUUAAUUCCUCUACUUAUAUAUGCUAUUUUACAACAGUUAGUUCUGACCAAAUGAUUUGAUUGGACAACAGACAUUUCAAGAGUGCUGAUAUAAAGCAACAAUGGCACCAGGAUUUCUUAUGGAUCAUAUCACUCUACUGUACAACUGAUGUAAAUACCAUUAAUUAUAGUUCCAUCUUAGGCUACAUGCCACAGUAUAUUGUCACUACGUUCACACUUGGGUUGCUGUUAAGUCUAAAACAUAUUUCUUUUUUUUAAGCCACA
ensembl:lncRNA